rnacentral:rRNA from 1 species
GAUGAACGCUGGCGGCGUGCCUAAUACAUGCAAGUCGAGCGAACAGAUGAGGAGCUUGCUCCUCUGACGUUAGCGGCGGACGGGUGAGUAACACGUGGAUAACCUCCCUAUAAGACUGGGAUAACUUCGGGAAACCGGAGCUAAUACCGGAUAAUAUAUUGAACCGCAUGGUUCAAUAGUGAAAGACGGUUUUGCUGUCACUUAUAGAUGGAUCCGCGCCGCAUUGGCUAGUUGGUAAGGUAACGGCUUAGCAAGGCAACGAUGCGUAGCCGACCUGAGAGGGUGAUCGGCCGCACGGGAACUGAGACACGGUCCAGACUCCUACGGGAGGCAGCAGUAGGGAAUCUUCCGCAAUGGGCGAAAGCCUGACGGAGCAACGCCGCGUGAGUUAUGAAGGUCUUCGGAUCGGAAAACUCUGUUAUUAGGGAAGAACAAAUGUGUAAGUAACUAUGCACGUAUUGACGGUACCUAAUCAGAAAGCCACGGCUAACUACGUG